rnacentral:rRNA from 1 species
AAUGAACGCUGGCGGCAGGCUUAACACAUGCAAGUCGAACGGGCAUAGCAAUAUGUCAGUGGCAGACGGGUGAGUAACACGUGGGAACCUUCCUAGAGGUACGGAACAACGCAGGGAAACUUGUGCUAAUACCGUAUACGCUCGAGAGAGGAAAGAUUUAUCGCCUUUAGAGGGGCCCGCGUAGGAUUAGGUAGUUGGUGAGGUAAUGGAUCACCAAGCUUACGAUCCUUAGCUGAUCUGAGAGGAUGAUCAGCCACACUGGAACUGAAACACGUGCCAGACUCCCACGGGAGGCAGCAGUGGGGAAUUUUGGACAAUGGGCGCAAGCCUGAUCCAGCCAUGCCGCGUGAGUGAAGAAGGCCUUCGGGUUGUAAAGCUCUUUUACCAGGGACGAUAAUGACGGUACCUGGAGAACAAGCCCCGGCUAACUUCGUGCCAGCAGCCGCCGUAA